rnacentral:lncRNA from 1 species
UCUAUUUUUAGUUUUUUAAGGAACUUCCAUACCAUUCUCCAUGGUGGUUGUACAAAUUACAUUCCCCCUAAGUGUUAGGAGGAUUCCCUUUUCACCACACCCUCUGCAGCAUUUAUUGUUUGUAGACUUUUCAAUGAUGGCCUUUCUGACUGGUGUAAGGUGAUACCUCAUUGCAGUUUUGAUUUGCUUUUCUCUACUCUAAUAAUUAGAUGUUAAACAUUUUCUCAUGACUUUUUGGCAAUCUAUGUCUUCUUUAGAAAAACAUCUAUUUAGAUCAUCUGUCCCUUUUUUGAUUAGGUUUAAAUCACCUGUCCCUUUUUUGAUUAGGUUUUUUUUUGAUAUUGAGCUGCAUGUGUUUUUUGUAUGUUUUGGAGAUUAGCCGUUGGUCACUUCAUUUGCAAAUAUUUUCUCUGGGUUGUCUUUGCAUUUUUGUUCUGGUUUCCUUUGCUAUGCAAAGGCUUUCAAGUUAAGUUAGGUAUCAUUUAUUUAUUUUUGUUUUUAUUUUCAUUAUUCUAGGAGGUGGGUCAAAAAAGAUAUUGCAGAAAUUUAUAACAAAAACAUUCUGUUUUCCUCUAAGGGUUUUAGAGUAUCUGCUCUUAUACUUAGAUCUUUAAUCCAUUUUGAGUUUAUUUUUGUGUACAGUGUUAGUGUUCUAAUUUCUUCCUUUGAUGUGUAGUUGUCUAGUUUUCCCAGCACCACUUAUUGAAGAGACUAUAUUUUCUCCAUUAUAUAUUCUUGCCUCCUUUGUCAUAGAUUAAUUGAUGUAAGGUACGAGGGUUUAUUUCUGGAUUUUUCUAUCCUGUUCCAUUGAUCAAGAAGUCUGUUUUUUGUGCCAGUACUAUACUAUUUUGAUUACUACAGCUUUAUAGUAUAGUCUGAAAUCAAGCAGCCUGAUUCCUCCAGUUCCAUUUUUCCUUCUGUAAAUUGCUUUGGCUAUUCAGAGCCUUGUAUUUCCAUCCACAUUUUAAAAUGUUUUUGCUUUAGAUCUUCAAAAAAUUCCAUUUGUAAUUUAACAGUAGAUUUCCUUUGGUAGUAUAGUCAUUUUCAUGAUAUUGAUUCUCCAAAAAACAUGAUGUAUCAUUCCAUCUGUUUAUGUCAUCUUUGAUUUCUUUCAUCAGAGUCAUAUAGUAUUUAGAGUAAAGGUCCUUUACCUCCUUAAGUAGAUUUAUGCAUAGGUACUUCAGGUAGUUUAUUCUUUUUGAAGCAAAGGUAAAUGGAACUGUUUCCUUAAUUUUCUGAUCUUUUGUUGUUAGUUUAUAGAAAUGCAACAUAUUCUGUGUAUUAAUUUUGUAUACUGAAACUUUACCAUAUUAAUUGAUGAACUCAAAUAGUUUACUGGUAGCAUCUUUAGGAUUUUCAAUGUAUAGUAUCAUGUCAUCUGCCAACAGGGACAGUUGUACUUCUUUUCCAAUUUUCUUUCAUUUUUUAAAGUUUUAUUGAAUUAUGGUUGAUUUUCAAUAUUGUGAUAAUUUCUGCUGUACAACAAAGUAACUCAGUUAUACAUGUACACACAUCCAUCCUCUUUCAGAUUCUUUUCCCACACACAUUAUCACAGAAUAUUGGAUAGAGUUUUCUGUGCUAUACAGCAAUUCCCUAUUGGCCAAUCAUGCAUCUACUUCAGAGUGUCCAUCCAAUUCCAAACCCCUAGUCUUUCUCUCUUUUAUUUCUUUUUCUUUUCUGAUUGCCAUGGCUAGGACUUCCAAAACAAUGUUGAAUAACAGUGGUGAGUGUGGAAAUCUUUGUCUUGUUCUUCAUAUUAGAGGAAAUGCAUUCAGCUUUUCACCAUUGAGUAUGUUAGCUGUAGCUAUGAUUUUUAAAUUAUUUUGCUGUGGUAAAAAUUCAAUGUAUAUCAGGUUUAUUUUCCUAAAAGUUGUACAUAAUGAUAAAAUGACUCAACUUUUAUAUGCUGUUUUCAUUUGUAAAUUGUAUAUCUUGUAACGGGUUUCAAAAGUUAAGUAGUAAUAUAGAAGUCAGAAUCUUCAAAUUAAUAGAAAAUACAUUAUAGAAAGUAUAAGUAAUGUGCUAAAAUUUUAUAAAAAUCAAAUUAUCCUUAUACACAUAUAUAUUUUAUUUUCCAUAAAUUUACAAGAUGUCUUUAUACAAUUAUACACAAAUUUUGCACAUAAUUUGUCUUUAUAAAAAUAUACACAAAAUUGAUCUGGCAUAUAUUUUACAAUAUGCAAUAACUCUAAUAUCACAAAGUACUUACCUUAAUUUCAGGGUAAAAACAUCACCAUGUGUCAGUUUUUUCACUUCUCUUUAAAACAGCUAUUACUUCUUAAAUGCAUUGUUUCAAGUGUGAUUGUAAGUGAAUAAAUUGAUCAUGGGCUAUGACAUAAAAAAAGAGAGAGAACAAUAGUGAAUGCAGAUGAACUGACGGAUUUAAUACUUCAGUGCAAUAUUAUGAUUUUCACUAGAGCAGAUGAGUAAUAGCAGGGAUGUGUAAUCUCAGAAUCAUCAGUUAGCAGACUUUUCCCUGUUCCUAAACUAAAAAUCCAUCAGCAGUUUAGUAACAGGAUACAGUUCCACAGUCCAAAAGCCUUUAUUGUUGCAAACUCAUCUGUGCUACUGCUCUAUGUACUGCAUACCAAAUGUAACUAUUUAAUUAUUUAGCACCUAUAGAAAUUUGUGUGUAUGUGAACUUAUAUCUUACAAACACCUGCUUCUACCAUGCAUUAUGUAGACAUAGCUAUAAAUGAGAGAGAAAGUGUACAGGAUUCUCUAUAGAUUUUUCCAAUGUACUUCAUCUUGCUAAUCUGAUGUUGUUGCAACUGUGUCUCAAAAUUAGAAUACAAAAUAUAUGUAAUAUUUUUAUAAUUUUUUAUUGCUUAAAGCAAACAGGUCACAAAAUAAUAUAGAUGGCAUUUACAUUUAAUUGUUUUGACAGUUUCCAGGGAGAUAACAGUGGAAAUGAAGCUACUUUCAACUAUGUUCAACAUAUCAAGAAUAUUUUAUAUUGGCUCAAUAUAUUUCAUAACUUACUAGUGAUGUCUGAAAACCCAACUGGAAUAUUUAAUAUCUUCAAUACUGGGUUUUGGUUUUUACAGUAAUUCAAUAAGAGCCAGUAGGAUCCAAUGUGUCAUUGAUUCUCCCUCUACUAUGCAGUGUUCACUUGGGAGGUGGUAAAUUAAUAUCUUUAUGUUCUUGAGUUUUCUAUGAAAUACGUACCCGAUAGCCUAAACAUCUGAGUCCAAUUCCCAUAGAAAGCAGUGGAAAUUACCACAACACACAGCUUCUUUAUAUAUACAAUUCCUAAGGAAAAAAAGGAAACUGGACUUAAGCAUGUAAAUAAAUUCAUUUUCUAUCGUGGGAUAGAAAUCAAUCACAAAGACCUUGAGGACUUGGACAACAGAAAUUACUUGACUGCAGGCAAAAUAACUUAGCAACUUAUCUUUUCUGGAAGGGUAUCUCUCAAGUUCCUGGUAGAAAGUUCUUGUUGAAUUUACUCUUGAAUUGAAAGACUGUGGAAUUUCUUUCUUGAUUAACCAUGUGAAAUGUAGAAAGAAUGGGCUGUGUGGCACUAGAUAGGCCUUGGCAUAAAUUCAUUUCCAGUAAGUAUCAAGUGAGUGAUCUUGGAAUAGUGUCUCACACCCCUAGAAGUUUGGUUGUUUCUCUGUGGCUUGCAAUGAUAAUGGUUGUUCCAGAUUUGGAUAAGAUAAUAAGCAUAAGUUGUACAUCUAGCAUAGUGCCCAUACCAGACACUCCAGGAAUAUCAUGCCACUCUCUCUUUUACUAAGACUCCUUUAAAAGCAAAGUGUAUUGCAAAUCAUUAAAUUUGAUCAUUGACAGUAAUGCCUACAAAAUAAGUCAGAUGUUUGCUAUUAUAUUCUACCUUUGAACCUGGUGAUCCUUCUUUAUUAAUUAAUAGUAAUAACAAGUAAUUAACAUUACUCCAAACCAGCUCCUCUAGCAUUUUCCUAUUCCGGUUAUUAUAAACAUAUAUUUAUCACCUUUCUCAGGCCACACAGUGAGGAAUCAUUCUUAGUUCCUCCUUUUCCCUAACAUACUAAUAAUUUACCUAAUCAGUCAAGAUAUUUCUACUUCACAGUGUAAUACGUCUUUCUUCUACUUGUCCAUUGAGCUCCAUCACUAAAACCUCUGUCACACACAAAGCUGAGUCACUAUCCUGAUAAUUCCUUGAAGCCACACUUAACCUUUCUUCAAUUUAUUUUAUCCAUUGCAUCCAGAAUGAUCAUUUAUUUUUAAAAUACAUAUAGUGAUUAAUAUAUUUUAAUGUCUUUCCAUAAACCUUGUGUAAAGGCUAUAGCCAGCCUUCAAAUCCAUGUAUGUGGCCUCUUUUCCCUUCUUCAAUGCUUUUAACAAGACUUCCCCUUCAUUCCCACCAUUGCUUUUCUUCCAAAUGUUCUGAGAAAGAGCCAUGUCCUCCAUGCUUUUGAACAUGCUCUUCUCUUUGAAUGAACAUUCUUCUCCAUGAUAAUCCCAUUUGCUUAUCUAACAAAAUCACUUUUAGGUCUUAGCUGCAAUUCAUCUUGCUCUGGGAAAACUCGCCUCUUUCUCUUGUCUAGGUUAGAGCUACAGCCCUUUUUAUUUCCACAUUUAUAACAUUUAUUGCACUCAAUUAUUUGUUCAUCAUCUGCCUUUCACAAAAGGGGCAAUAUGAUUGUUAUUCAUCACUAACUUCAUGAUAGAAUCUAUAUACAUUGCUAUGGGCACUGAAGCCAAAACAUAAACAAUCAAACAUAGUGUAUGCAAGGUAAUAUGCAUAUAGAAAGAUGAGUAAUGUGUGGUCUAUGCUGUGACUUGACUUUAUAACCUGGCUCACAUAUUUCUAUUCUUAUAUAGUUGAAACAAAUUGGAUUUAUUUUUCAUGGUGAUGUGGUGGUAAUUGAGGGAACAGUCUGUAUCACUUGCUUCAUAUACAGACCUAGAUGUGGAUAAUGAGGGAAAGAAAAGGGCUUUGAAUAGCCUUUUUUAUUGUUGAAGGGAAAUUCAGAUGCAGAUAGCUCACAGAGAGAAAAGUUAUAAGGUUGUUCACAUACAGAUUUUAAAAUAAAUAUUUGUUAUGACAAAUGGCAAGAUAAUGAGUCUCUGUCUGCUAAAAACAAAAUGAUCUCUCUUUUUUACAGGCCCUCUAUUAAGCUAGUACAUAUAAUUAAGGCAGGAGAAGUUUCUGUCUGUUAAGUCCUCUCUGGAUUUGCUUGAUUAUAUUCUGCUCUUUAGCAAUCUGCAAGCUAUUCAGAAUCUUUUUAGAGAUCUUGGAUUUGAUUGUUUUAAUUAUAACUCUGAGCUUCGUGUAAAAGCUCCAUUUCCUUUUCUGUGAUUGGGGUGGGGCUGGGGAACCUAAUGGCAUCCACAGACAUACACACACAUACACGGGGUAAAUUUCAUGAGUGUUUAUGCCUGUCAAACCAAGAUUGAUUUUUCCUUCCCUUUUUUUUUUAAAAAAAUAUAUUCAUUAGAAUACAGGAUCGAAAGUCAAAAAUUCUGGUUCUGCUUAUUCUUAGGCAGAGGAUUUUAAACCAAUAAUUUUACCUUAAUUUUACCUUAAGCCUCAGUAUCCUUUCUAGUCCAUAAAAAGUAUAUAUGAAAUUUCUGUAUCACUUUCCUGGUGACCUUGAGGAUACAAUUAAAGUACUGGUUGUAGAAAAGCUUAAGUAAUAUGAAAAAAGUUAUAUAAAUUUAAAAAUAUUGAACUUGAUUGUUUCUCUUCUUUUCUACAUUCAUCUGCUCAUAGCAGUGUUGCAGACCUUUAUAAAUCAGGGAGGGUCCUGUAAGGACUUGUUCCUAAUUAUUUAUAUCAAAACAAUUUUCCUAGGCAAAAUCUUUAUUUACCAUAGUAGUAAUCUAACCAAAUGUCCAACCCAGACACUUUCAUCUGCUCACUAGGAAAAAUAUAUUUGCAUAACUAACAAGUACUUUUAUCUGGAUCUUCCCAAUCUUUCUAUGAGCUAUUACAAACAGAAGUCUAUGGAUUGAAGUGUGGAUCAAAGAGAUGUAGUAUUUUCUUUCUCUGCAUUUUAUUCAAGCAUGGGAUUUUCCUUAUUAAAAAUAUUUCCCAUAUUGUGAGUGUUCUGAUACAGAAACAGUUGCUAGUAUACCCGGACUCCAGACCAAUGCUAUUCGCUGGGCAAUUGCAUGACUCAACCUGUUACCUCAAAGAAGGGGAAACAGAAUUUGAACUGAUCUCAGCUAGUAGGGAGUCAAGAGAAACCCAGUUCAAGGACACUGUUAACUAAGUACAAGAACUAACUUUCUCAGGCUCCAUUUCUUUAUCACAGACAUAAAAUUCAGGAAUUAGUUACC